ACACUGCCAGCUUUCUGGUUUCUCUUCCCACUCCCCCUAUGACGGGGCCCGAGGUUCUGUCCUUGUUCUCGUCUCUCCCAACAUGGUUUCCUCUGGCAUCCUCAUGGGUCCAGGUUUUCGCUUUCCAUCAAAAUUCUCCUAUACAUUUGCCAAGUUUAGAUUUACUCACUCAGAUUUCCCAUCUGGCUCUCUGCAUGGACCUUGAUUGGGAACCUAGAUUUUUAUUAUCAGCCUCGGAUGAGAGGCGGUUUGGCACCUUCUGGAGAGGUAACUGCGUGUUCAGUAGUGUGCGGUGUGAAGCAGGGAGGUCUGCCUAGAGGAGGAAGCCGGGAAGCAAGCUGCAGCCCAAGUGCCCAGGGUCCUGAGUCCCAUGCGAAUUCGUGUUUGCCCGACCCCAUGCAUCAGCUGUCCCCAGAGGUUUCGAUUCAUAACUGCUAGCCAUUCAUCGCCAGCUCAGGAGACCAGCAUAGAAUUGCCUGCUUUUAUUUCAAGCAAUUGCAGCAACAGU